AUUUAAACUGUGGAAACCCUUUGAAAGCUGUUUGGCUCCCAUCAAGCCACCCUGUCUUAGUUUGUGUUGGAUUAUUGUCGAGUUGUUGGCUGAUCAUCAUCAAUAUUGCACUUCAUGGGGAAACUCAUGGCUGCACUCGCUCACACUCUUUGCCAACCAUGAGCUGAUAUUCACAUGCUGAUCUGCUGCUUAUCAAUGCCACGUACGGCGUCGGGCCUCGAGUGUUCGCUUCAAGCUCGAGGCGCUUCACUUCAGCAAGGUCAGUGUCGCGAAACGCUGCCCAAUACUCGAGAUGGUAGAUCCCAGCGGACUGGACCAAGAAUGAAAGACUGACAGAGAGGUGGAGAAAAAAAUAAUAAUAAAAUGAUGAGGAAGGGGAGCGGGGGGAGGGUCCUAUUGGACAGGAAAUAAAGUGUGCUGUC